rnacentral:rRNA from 1 species
GACGAACGCUGGCGGCGUGCCUAAUACAUGCAAGUAGGACGCAGUUGCGAACGGGUGAGUAACGCGUAGGUAACUACCUAUUAGAGGGGGAUAACUAUUGGAAACGAUAGCUAAUACCGCAUACUAGUAGAUGGACCUGCGUUGUAUUAGCUAUUAGGUCGGGUAAUGGCCUACCUAGGCCACGAUACAUAGCCGGCCUUAGAGGGUGAGCGGCCAAACUGGGACGGAGACAAGGCCCAGACUCCUACGGGAGGCAGCAGUAGGGAAUCUUCGGCAAUGGGGGGAAACCUGACCGAGCAACGCCGCGGGAGUGAAGAAGGUUUUCGGAGCGGAAAGCUCUUUUGGUAAGGAAGCGGUACUUAACCAGAAAGGGACGGCUAACUACGUGCCAGCCGCCGCGGUAAUAC